GAUGAACGCUGGCGGCGGGCCUAAUACAUGCAAGUCGAACGAACAGACGAGGAGGUUGCUCCUUUGACGUUAGCGGCGCGGGGGGGUGAAAAAUGUGUGGAAUACACCUAGAUGAAGGGGAAAAACUCGAGAAAACGGCGGUUAUAGCGGAUUAGAUACUGAAGCGCAUGGUGGGAUAGUGAAGGACGGUUUUGCUGGGAAUGAUCGCUGGUUCCGCGCCGCAUUAGCUGGGUGGUACGGUAACGGCUUACCAAGGCGACGAUGCGUAGCCGAGCUGAGAGGAUGAUCGGCCACACUGGAACUGGGACACGGUCCAGACUCCUACGGGAGGCAGCAGUAGGGAAUCUUACGCAAUGGGCGAAAGCUUGACGCAGCCACGCCGCGUGUGUGAUGAAGGUCUUCGGAUCGUAAAGCACUGUUAUGGGGGAAGAACAGAUUUAUAAUUAAACCUGCACUUAUUGACGUUACCCGGUCAAGAAGCACCGGCUAACUACGUG
rnacentral:rRNA from 1 species